CCCACAGUCCGGCCCAGCGCCCCUGGCCCUCACGGACACCCGCGUGCCCUCGGGGGCGCGCCCCCGUGCCUGCCCGGCCGGCAGAGGGCGGGGUCGCUCACCGGUCCGCAGCUCAUGCUUGACAAGAGUACCUACAGAGCUCACAAACACGCCGAAUGUGGCGGGUUCGGAGCCCUCCGCCGAGUCGCAAGAUCUGGUCUGAGAUCUGGCGCGCGGACCUGUGCCCACGAGUGCACAGCUGGGAGAGGCGUUGGAGGCACGCACAUCA